rnacentral:rRNA from 1 species
UACGAAGGGGGCUAGCGUUGUUCGGAAUCACUGGGCGUAAAGGGCGCGUAGGCGGCUUUAUAAGUCGGGGGUGAAAGCCUGUGGCUCAACCACAGAAUUGCCUUCGAUACUGUAGAGCUUGAGACCGGAGGAGGUAAGUGGAACUGCGAGUGUAGAGGUGAAAUUCGUAGAUAUUGGGAAGAACACCGAUGGCGAAGGCAGCCAUCUGGACCGACACUGACGCUGAGGCGCGAAAGCGUGGGGAGCAAACAGG